AUUGAACGCUGGCGGCGUGCCUAAUACAUGCAAGUCGAGCGGAGCGGCGGACGGGUGAGUAAUGCCUAGGAAUCUGCCUGGUCGUGGGGGAUACCGUCCGGAAACGGGCGCUAAUACCGCAUACUAUCAGAUGAGCCUCGGUCGGAUUAGCUAGUUGGUGGGGUAAUGGCCUACCAAGGCGACGAUCCGUAACUGGUCUGAGAGGAUGAUCAGUCACACUGGAACUGAGACACGGUCCAGACUCCGACGGGAGGCAGCAGUGGGGAAUAUUGCACAAUGGGCGCAAGCCUGAUGCAGCCAUGCCGCGUGUAUGAAGAAGGCCUUCGGGUUGUAAAGUACUUUCAGCGAGGAGGCGUUACUCGCAGAAGAAGCACCGGCUAACUACGUGCCAGCAGCCGCGGUAAUUC
rnacentral:rRNA from 1 species